GCGCCUGUAGCUCAGCAGGAUAGAGCGUCAGCCUCCUAAGCCGAAGGCCCCCGGUUCGAAUCCGGGCAGGCGCG
rnacentral:tRNA from 1 species